GUAGGUGGCGAGCGUUAUCCGGAAUUAUUGGGCGUAAAGAGGGAGCAGGCGGCGGCAGAGGUCUGUGGUGAAAGACUGAAGCUUAACUUCAGUAAGCCAUAGAAACCGGGCUGCUAGAGUGCAGGAGAGGAUCGUGGAAUUCCAUGUGUAGCGGUGAAAUGCGUAGAUAUAUGGAGGAACACCAGUGGCGAAGGCGACGGUCUGGCCUGUAACUGACGCUCAUUCCCGAAAGCGUGGGGAGCAAAUAGGAUUAGAUACCCUAGUAGUCCACGCCGUAAACGAUGAGUACUAAGUGUUGGGAGUCAAAUUUCAGUGCUGCAGUUAACGCAAUAAGUACUCCGCCUGAGUAGUACGUUCGCAAGAAUGAAACUCAAAGGAAUUGACGG
rnacentral:rRNA from 1 species